rfam:Cavia porcellus supercont2_42 genomic scaffold, whole genome shotgun sequence.
CUGGCCCUGAAUCAAGGGCGGCAGCUUCCUGACGCUGUUGGUUUCAAGCAGGAGCCUAAAGAGAUGUCUUUCUAUGGUCUGUUGGCCAUUCGGCCCAGGAUGGGUGCGUCAUGCUGGGGCCUGCAGCGCCGGAGAAACCACAC